rnacentral:rRNA from 1 species
CGGCGAAUUGUAGUUUGGAGAAGUGUCUUCAACGCGUCGUUUCCGGUCCAAGUUGCUUGGAACGGCACGUCACGGAGGGUGAGAAUCCCGUUCGUGAUCGGAAAUGGCGCGCCACGAAGCACUUUCGAAGAGUCGGGUUGUUUGGGAUUGCAGCCCAAAGCGGGUGGUAAACUCCAUCUAAAGCUAAAUACGAGCACGAGACCGAUAGCGAACAAGUACCGUGAGGGAAAGAUGAAAAGCACUUUGAAAAGAGAGUUAAAGAGUACGUGAAACCGUUGAAGGGGAAACGAAUGCGACCAGCAAAGCACUCGUUGCAGAUUCAGUCGCGUCUCGRCGUCGCGGUCGGCUGGCGGAUCCGUAUGGACCCGUCGUCGGCUCGUCGACGUCGAGGCGCGCCGCAAUUCUGUCUCGUGCGAGCCAACGUCGGUUCGUCGACGACGUUCGGCUGUCGCGUCAGGUGGCUCGUGGCUUCGGUCGGGAGCGUUAUAGACGCGUCAGCAAGGGCGUCGAGACGGACCGAGGAGACGAAAUGUCGAUGGCGAACCGCGCUCUUCUGGGCUAGAGUCGUUCGACGCGCGUCGUGCGUCGCGUUUUGGACUGCGUGCAGUGCUCGAUGCGAUCGUGCGGGCGCGUCGGGACGUCUUCAUAAGCGGUUGUCGGUCGUUGGCGGUGAAAUGGUCUCAUCCGACCCGUCUUGAAACACGGACCAAGGAGUCUAACAUGUGUGCGAGUCGUGGGGUGACGAAACCCUGUGGCGCAAUGAAAGUGAGUUUGGAGACGAGAAGCGGCGUCUCGGCGUCGUUGCAUCGUCGGCCGACCUGUCCUGAUUUCAGAAAGGUUUGAGUAGGAGCACGCCUGUUGGGACC